GUGGGGAAUUGUUCGCAAUGGGCGCAAGCCUGACGACGCAACGCCGCGUGGAGGAUGAAGGUCUUCGGAUUGUAAACUCCUGUUGCCCGGGACGAAUGGCUCUGACCUAACACGUCAGAGUUUGACGGUACCGGGUGAGGAAGCCCCGGCUAACUCUGUGCCAGCAGCCGCGGUAAUACAGAGGGGGCAAGCGUUGUUCGGAAUUACUGGGCGUAAAGGGCGCGUAGGCGGCCUGCUAAGUCGAACGUGAAAUCCCCGGGCUCAACCCGGGAACUGCGUUCGAUACUGGUUGGCUUGAAUCCGGGAGAGGGAUGCGGAAUUCCAGGUGUAGCGGUGAAAUGCGUAGAUAUCUGGAGGAACACCGGUGGCGAAGGCGGCAUCCUGGACCGGCAUUGACGCUGAGGCGCGAAAGCCAGGGGAGCAAACGGGAUUAGAAACCCCAGUAGUCC
rnacentral:rRNA from 1 species